GCCCCGGUGGCCUAAUGGAUAAGGCACUGGCCUCCUAAGCCAGGGAUUGUGGGUUCAGUCCCAUCUGGGCUG
rnacentral:tRNA from 1 species